GGAGGAAAGUAGGGGAUCGAAAGACCUUACGCUUUUGGAGCGGCCGAUGUCUGAUUAGCUAGUUGGUGGGGUAAGGGCCUACCAAGGCGACGAUCAGUAGUUGGUCUGAGAGGACGACCAGCCACACUGGGACUGAGACACGGCCCAGACUCCUACGGGAGGCAGCGGUGGGGAAUUUUGGACAAUGGGCGCAAGCCUGAUCCAGCAAUGCCGCGUGAGUGAAGAAGGCCUUCGGGUUGUAAAGCUCUUUCAGUCGAGAAGAAAAGGCUGCAGUGAAUAACUGUAGUUUAUGACGGUAUCGACAGAAGAAGCACCGGCUAGCUACGUGCCAGCAGCCGCGGUAAUACGUAGGGUGCGAGCGUUAAUCGGAAUUACUGGGCGUAAAGGGUGCGCAGGCGGUUUUGUAAGUCAGAUGUGAAAUCCCCGGGCUUAACCUGGGAAUUGCAUUUGAAACUACAAGGCUAG
rnacentral:rRNA from 1 species